UACGGAGGGGGCUAGCGUUGUCCGAAGUUACUGGGCGUAAAGCGCGCGUAGGCGGGUUGGUAAGUCCGCUGUGAAAGCCCGGAGCUUAACUCCGGAGGGUCGGUGGAUACUGCCAGUCUUGAAGGUGCUAGGGGGAGAUGGAAUUACCGGUGUAGCGGUGAAAUGCGUAGAUAUCAGGAGGAACACCGAUGGCGAAGGCAGGUCUCUGGGCCGAUACUGACGCUGAGGAGCGAAAGCGUGGGGAGCGAACAGG
rnacentral:rRNA from 1 species